rnacentral:rRNA from 1 species
AUUGAACGCUGGCGGAAUGCUUUACACAUGCAAGUCGAACGGCAGCACGGGGCAACCUGGUGGCGAGUGGCGAACGGGUGAGUAAUACAUCGGAACGUGCCCAAUCGUGGGGGAUAACGUAGCGAAAGUUACGCUAAUACCGCAUACGAUCUACGGAUGAAAGCGGGGGAUCGCAAGACCUCGCGCGAAUGGAGCGGCCGAUGUCAGAUUAGGUAGUUGGUGGGGUAAAGGCUCACCAAGCCAACGAUCUGUAGCUGGUCUGAGAGGACGACCAGCCACACUGGGACUGAGACACGGCACAGACUCCUACGGGAGGCAGCAGUGGGGAAUUUUGGACAAUGGGCGCAAGCCUGAUUCAGCCAUUCCGCGUGCAGGAUGAAGGCCUUCGGGUUGUAAACUGCUUUUGUACGGAACGAAACGGCUCUCUCUAAUACAGGGGGCUAAUGACGGUACCGUAAGAAUAAGCACCGGCUAACUACGUGCCAGCAGCCGCCGUAAGAC